CCGCGCAGGCGCAAUGCCCGGGCCUGCCUGCGUCACCACGGCAACUCCAACCAGAGCAACGCCCAGAGGCGGACACCAUGUGAAUGUUGCUGAUAAAGCCAGCAUUUGCUCCUGAUCAUUAAUUGCCCUUCAGAAGAUGGCAGUUCAUGGCCUAUAGUGCAUGUGAUUUAACACCUACAGUGUUGUUAAGGAGGAAAGAUUAGGGAGGAGGAGUCGUAAAGAUAGCAGACGCUUCACGCCAGAAUGAACAAGCAGUUCCUGGUAGGGACCCUUGAAAUGUGGCCUUCCAGUAAACUGAGUCAUCAUCAGAUGGUUCAUGGGUUGGCGUGUGAAUUACAGAAAAGUAAUUGAAUUUGCUAAACAUUUUUAACUGCAGGCAAACAUACUUCGUAGCAGGGGAGGAAGAGUUAAGACUCGAAAAACAGGUUGUUGUUUGAAGUUGAAUCAAACCUCGCUUUAUUUUACAGGUUAUUCGAUACACUUUUUGUCUAAACCCUAGCUUUGGCAUUCAAACCUGAUACGGAAAAUUCUGCGAUUACCGGAAAACCAAUUAAACCAUUCAUUAA